rnacentral:rRNA from 1 species
CACGUAGGGGGCAAGCGUUGUCCGGAUUUAUUGGGCGUAAAGAGCUCGUAGGUGGCUGAGUAAGUCGGAUGUUAAAUCCCCAGGCUCAACCUGGGACACCACCCGAUACUGCUCUGGCUAGAGUCCGGUAGGGGAGUACUGGAAUUCCUGGUGUAGCGGUGAAAUGCGCAGAUAUCAGGAGGAACACCGAUGGCGAAGGCAGGUCUCU